rfam:Clostridiales bacterium 42_27 Ley3_66761_scaffold_3864, whole genome shotgun sequence.
AUAAUGGUACAUUCUGUCCAGCCACAGCCGCAAGCAAUGGGGGCAGCUCGGAGAGAUCCUCUGAGGGGUUAGAUUCCCGAUGG